UACCUCAUCCAUCGGAAGGGAUUCCUUCCGUCGAUGAGGUAUAACAACCUCAUCGGCCGGAAGGAAUUCCUUCCGGUUGAUGAGGUA
rnacentral:miRNA from 1 species